rnacentral:rRNA from 1 species
UAGGGAAUCUUCGGCAAUGGGGGCAACCCUGACCGAGCAACGCCGCGUGAGUGAAGAAGGUUUUCGGAUCGUAAAGCUCUGUUGUAAGAGAAGAACGUGUGUGAGAGUGGAAAGUUCACACAGUGACGGUGACUUACCAGAAAGGGACGGCUAACUACGUGCCAGCAGCCGCGGUAAUACGUAGGUCCCGAGCGUUGUCCGGAUUUAUUGGGCGUAAAGCGAGCGCCGGCGGUUUAAUAAGUCUGAAGUUAAAGGCAGUGGCUUAACCAUUGUUCGCUUUGGAAACUGUUAAACUUGAGUGCAGAAGGGGAGAGUGGAAUUCCAUGUGUAGCGGUGAAAUGCGUAGAUAUAUGGAGGAACACCGGUGGCGAAAGCGGCUCUCUGGUCUGUAACUGACGCUGAGGCUCGAAAGCGUGGGGAGCAAACAGG